GUAGUCUGCCAUACGCAGGAAGACCCGCUGAACUGAAGCAUCUCAUUAAGCGGAGGAAAAGAAACUAACUAGGAUUCUCUUAGUAAAGGCGAUCGAAAAGGGAACAGCCCAACGUCUUAAUCCCGCAAGGGAAAUGUAGUCCGGUUCACCUAUUGCACUGGUCUAGUCAGAUGAAUGCUUGCGCGAUUCAAAGGUACAAGCCUCGUAUGACCACCUGCAAGCUUACGAUGGACCCGGGAGAGUCG
rnacentral:ncRNA from 1 species